UCACUACAGGUUGCAAAAGUAGAUAAGAAACCACUUUUCUCAUAAUCAAGGAGUAGAAGGGAUUUGGCUUUCUUUUCCUACCUGUCACUGACUUGAAGCUCAUGGACUUGGCUUCUUAAUUAAUUAUCAUGCCAUUCGUUUCCAAAGUAAAAUGUUUUGAUGGUAGUAAUAAGGUUAUUGGGAUGAUCUCAAGUAAUUUAACUAAAAGCAUAUACAUAUAAACAUAUAAGUAGUAUAACAUACUUUGGUUUUGUGUAUAUAUAUAAAACAUG
rnacentral:lncRNA from 1 species